rnacentral:lncRNA from 1 species
AAGCAAUGACCAAGCAGUGGAGGACAUAAUUUUGCUUUAUUGCAUAGGUUGCCCUUCAUGCUUUAACCUUGCCUAUGCCCUCAGGUGAGCUAGAGGAAUAUUGUCCUGUUGCUGGUGAUGUAGUGAAAUUUUAGCAGCCAGUUUGGUCAGCUCUUGUAUGUGAAGGGGUGCUGCUGGUGGAAUCCCGUCUUUUGGAUGAAGAACCCAAAAUGACAUGAUCAAGCCUUGCCUUUUCAGAUAUUCAUUCCUCAUAUACAGUAGAAGGAAUGUGUAUAGGAUGUGGGAAGAGUUUCAUCCUUUGUGUAUUUCUGUGAACAGGGCCCCUGUAUCUGUGUACAGUUGAAUGCAUGUACGAUUAGGUCCAGGCAAUCAGCGAUCCCAGAAAAGCUUUGUGACUCUCCUCUGUACCUCAAGCUUCCCUUUCAAGUGAACUCCGCUCUGUACCAAAAAACUAUAUUAUUGUUUUGUCCCACCGUGCAUUCUUGAAGGAUAUUGCAAACACACUAGACUGGGACUGAAAGCACUAAACAGGUUCUUUUCUGUGCAGAAACACCCCAUCCAUGUAGAUGUGAAAAACAUUGGACACUCUAACAGAUAUUCAUCAAAAGAGGAAAUGUAUGCAAGAGAAGAGUUUAGACAUUUUCUUUUUCUGGCUUACAACUCCCAGAACCCUCCAGCCAACAUGAGAGACCAUCUGUAAACAUGACCAUAUCAAUG